UACAGAGGGUGCGAGCGUUAAUCGGAAUUACUGGGCGUAAAGGGUGCGUAGGUGGUUUAUUAAGUCAGAUGUGAAAUCCCCGGGCUUAACCUGGGAAUUGCAUAUGAUACUGGUGAGCUAGAGAAUGGAAGAGGGAAGUGGAAUUUCCGGUGUAGCGGUGAAAUGCGUAGAUAUCGGAAGGAACAUCAGUGGCGAAGGCGACUUCCUGGUCCAUGACUGACACUGAGGCACGAAAGCGUGGGGAGCAAACAGG
rnacentral:rRNA from 1 species